GUUGGAAAAUAGACUGGAGAAGAAUUGGAAGUUCAUGCUUAUCUCCCUCUCACAGCCUUCUGAGACAAGGUCAAAAACAAAAAGUGGACUCAGCAGAUCUGGAGGGAAGCUAAAGACAGGGGUCAGGAUUGUGUUGACUGGAUUAAACUAUCAUGAUCCACUCCUAGAGAUGGGCACAGAGCAGCUCUCAACAAAAUUGGAAUUUCUUUAAUAAUAAAGAAGGGCUAAACAGAUAUUUAGAUUAAUCUGCUCCUCCUGCAGGCCCUAGUAUCCAUGGUGAAAAAAGGAAAAUUGAAAAAUCAAAUACCAUUCUGUCUACCUGACGAAGAGCCUGCAGACGAACUUACCCUGAAUCUAGGACUGAGCUCUUGUUAACACCAAGACCAGAUUUCUGAUGAUAUUUGUGAGAUGUCGCCCAAAUGUCUAAAGCAGUUCUCUGUGUGUUAAUAACAGACUCCAUCUUUUAAAAAACUGUGCCAUAAUUUCUCUGGAACUUUGCUCAUGAAAAGACCAGUUGCUCUUGCUCCAGAAUGAAUGAUUAUCCUUCCAUACAACAGAUGCCUUCCUCUAACUCUUCUCCCAGUGCAGGCAGGAAUCCUGCUUCCCACUCAGGAAUUUGCACUGAUUGGGCUGUUGCUACAGUAUAAUAUCUCUGAGUGGACCUCCUCCUCCCCCAGAUCCUAUAUUUUCCCUGAUCUGCUGGACUAUUUCAGGUAUUCAGCACAAUGAAUGGGAAGAAUAUCCCAGACCUGCAAACCCUCAGCCAGCUACCCACUCUGGGUUUUGGAGGAAAUAUGCAAGGGGGAGACUGGACAAAUGAACACUUUCUCUGUAGUUCAAAUGAACCUGGAGACCCAUGUGGUCUCAGAACACUGUUGUGUUUCAGAAACAAAUUCAAAACCAAGGGUAAAUAAAAGGGAGUUAUAGUCUUCAUGCUAAAAUGAUUAAAUGGGAGCCACAGAAAUGCUUACCUGAACUUGCCUUCCUCUCCCAUUCUUUCCCCUUAUUCAAGAAGCUGCUCCCAAGACUCCCCUCCAGCCCACGCUUCUUUUGUCCCUCCCUCCAUUCCUGCAUCUCCUCUCACCAGAUCUCAUGAAGUAGGUCUACUUAGCCUUGCUCCCAAGAAGAAAGAAGCCCCCUUUUAAGAAAUGGAGAGGAGGCUUUGAAAACUGAGUUGACAA